UACGUAGGGGGCAAGCGUUGUCCGGAAUCAUUGGGCGUAAAGCGCGCGUAGGCGGCCCGGUAAGUCCGCUCUGAAAGUCCAGGGCUCAACCCUGGAAAGCGGGUGGAUACUGCCGGGCUAGAAUCCGGAAGAGGCGAGUGGAAUUCCUGGUGUAGCGGUGGAAUGCGCAGAUAUCAGGAGGAACACCGGUGGCGAAGGCGGAUCUCUGGGCCAGUACUGACACUGAGGAGCGAAAGCGUGGGGAGCGAACAGG
rnacentral:rRNA from 1 species